rnacentral:rRNA from 1 species
UACGGAGGGUGCAAGCGUUAUCCGGAUUCACUGGGCUUAAAGGGUGCGUAGGUGGGCUGGUAAGUCAGUGGUGAAAUCUCCAGGCUUAACUUGGAAACUGCCAUUGAUACUAUCAGUCUUGAAUACCGUGGAGGUCAGCGGAAUAGGUCAUGUAGCGGUGAAAUGCUUAGAUAUGACAUAGAACACCAAUUGCGAAGGCAGCUGGCUAGACGAAUAUUGACACUGAUGCACGAAAGCGUGGGGAUCAAACAGG